UAAAGAGUCCUUUGCGAUCACGGGAGGCGUGAUCAUAGAUAGUCUCGCUUUCGAAAGAGAUGGUCAGAGAUAAUCUCGCUUCUAAAACACAUCAAGUGUACACUAAUAGAAAAAAUAAUUUGAUAUUUGAUAUUUCAAUAAGAAAAUUAGAUGUGUUCUACAAAAAGAAAAAUUGUUAGUAACAUAUAUAUACACAAGAUUGGGGAAUAGUGUGAG
rnacentral:lncRNA from 1 species